rnacentral:rRNA from 1 species
CCUACGGGAGGCUGCAGUGAGGAAUAUUGGUCAAUGGGCGGGAGCCUGAACCAGCCAAGCCGCGUGAGGGAAGAAGGUACAGCGUAUCGUAAACCUCUUUUGUCAGGGAACAAAGGCGGGGACUAGUCCCCGGAUGAGUGUACCUGAAGAAAAAGCAUCGGCUAACUCCGUGCCAGCAGCCGCGGUAAUACGGAGGAUGCGAGCGUUAUCCGGAUUGAUGGGGUUUAAAGGGUGCGCAGGCGGCCUGUUAAGUCAGCGGGAAAAGCCCGGGGCUCAACCCCGACGAGCCGUUGAAACUGGCGGGCUGGAGUUGGAGAGACGUACGCGGAAUGCGCGGUGUAGCGGUGAAAUGCUUAGAUAUCGCGCAGAACCCCGAUUGCGAAGGCAGCGUACCGGCUCCACACUGACGCUGAGGCACGAAAGCGUGGGUAUCGAACAGGAUUAGAUACCCUAGUAGUC